UAAGGAAUACUCAAAGUGUAUUUAUAUGUACUGAUAUGGAAAUUUUGUUAAAAUAUAUUGAGAAAUGGGAUAGAAAGCAAGUUGCAGAUAUGCAUAUAUACUAAGAUUUCAUUAUAUAAAAGGGGCAUAUAUACAUUUAUUUAUAGUCUCAAAACUAUUUUUUUACAAUUAGUUUAUAUGAAUCAGGAUGCAAAGCAGCUCCAUAAAUCCCUAAUAUAAAAAUUAUUUUGCUAGUGAUUCUUAC
rnacentral:lncRNA from 1 species